CCUCUGGGUUGUAAACUCCUUUUAUCUGGGAAGAAAUGUUUCGAUUCUUCGGAACUUGACGGUACCAGAGGAAUAAGCACCGGCUAACUCCGUGCCAGCAGCCGCGGUAAUACGGAGGGUGCAAGCGUUAUCCGGAUUCACUGGGUUUAAAGGGUGCGUAGGCGGGUAGAUAAGUCAGUGGUGAAAUCUCCGAGCUUAACUCGGAAACUGCCAUUGAUACUAUUUNUCUUGAAUAUUGUGGAGGUAAGCGGAAUAUGUCAUGUAGCGGUGAAAUGCUUAGAUAUGACAUAGAACACCAAUUGCGAAGGCAGCUUACUACGCANUUAUUGACGCUGAGGCACGAAAGCGUGGGGAUCAAACAGGAUUAGAUACCCUGGUAGUCCACGCCCUAAACGAUGAUUACUCGACAUACGCGAUACACUGUGUGUGUCUGAGCGAAAGCAUUAAGUAAUCCACCUGGGAAGUACGAUCGCAAGAUUGAAACUCAAA
rnacentral:rRNA from 1 species